CCAGUAUAAUUUAUUUAUUUCUAUUCCAGCACGCCUUUCAUUUCCACUGCAUUUCAAGAUGGUUGAAAACUAGACAGGUUUGUCCUUUAGAUAACAGGGAGUGGGAAUUCCAAAAAUAUGGCCAUUGAUUCAUUGGUUUGGAAUUUUUUGAUCCUUUCUGAUAUGACCUGCUUUUCAUCAAUAUCUCUUCGAUUCAAAUUUGCUUUUGAAUUAAAAGUAUCUCCAUUA